UUAGACAGAGACUGCCAGAAGUCCUGUAAAGAUCUUAACAAACACUCCGAGCAACUGGGCACAGCGUAUCUCAGACACACCUGCUGGGUGAGCUCUGGUCCGUCCACACCAGCCCGAGGAAGCCACAGCUUAGGAAAACAACUGGAACCCAGGAGCAAACGUCCGGAAAACAUUGACUCAUCACUCAAGACUUGGCUGCCUUUUCCUUCCUAUUCAGGUGGGGGACAUCGAUACUGCUCAUCAGUGGGUAGAGGAUGAAUGAAUGAGACUCAUGGCUGGCCGUUCAUCUCAUAAAUCUUGGAGAUUCCUGUGGCUGAAAGUUGUGUUUGCUCCUGCUAGCCUCUCCUCAGCUGGAGCCCAAACCCUGACAGAGCCCAAGGUGAGAUCCCCGCCCCAGGCACCACCCCGCAUU